GGGAUGACGUCAAGUCCUCAUGGCCCUUAUAGGUAGGGCUACACACGUCAUACAAUGGAUGGUACAGAGGGUCGCCAACCCGCGAGGGGGAGCUAAUCCCAUAAAACCAUUCGUAGUCCGGAUCGCAGUCUGCAACUCGACUGCGUGAAGUCGGAAUCGCUAGUAAUCGCGGAUCAGAAUGUCGCGGUGAAUACGUUCCCGGGUCUUGUACACACCGCCCGUCACACCAUGGGAGCGGGUUCUGCCAGAAGUAGUUAGCCUAACCGCAAGGAGGGCGAUUACCACGGCAGGGUUCGUGACUGGGGUGAAGUCGUAACAAGGUAGCCGUAUCGGAAGGUGCGGCUGGAUCACCUCCUUU
rnacentral:rRNA from 1 species